rnacentral:rRNA from 1 species
CGGGCGCGGCGGCGGUCUAAGUCUCUUGGAACGGGGCGUCAUAGAGGGUGAGAAUCCCGUAUGUGACCGGACACCAAGCCCAUGUGAAACUCCUUCGACGAGUCGAGUUGUUUGGGAAUGCAGCUCAAAAUGGGUGGUAAAUUUCAUCUAAAGCUAAAUACUGGCCAGAGACCGAUAGCGCACAAGUAGAGUGAUCGAAAGAUGAAAAGCACUUUGGAAAGAGAGUCAAAAAGUACGUGAAAUUGUUGAAAGGGAAGCGCUUGCAACCAGACCUGCCCGCGGGCGAUCAGCCGUCCCUUCGGGGGCGGUGCACGCGCCCGUGAACAGGCCAGCAUCGGUUCGGGCGGCCGGAUAAAGGCCUCGGGAAUGUAGCUCCUUUCGGGGAGUGUUAUAGCCCUUGGUGCAAUGCGGCCAGCCUGGACCGAGGACCGCGCUUCGGCUAGGAUGCUGGCGUAAUGGUUGUAAGCGGCCCGUCUUGAAACACGGACCAAGGAGUCUAACAUCUAUGCGAGUGUUUGGGUGUCAAACCCAU